CAGGACGAACGCUGGCGGCGUGCCUAAUACAUGCAAGUCGAACGGCUUUUCUAUGGAAGCUUGCUUCCACUGAGAAGAUAGUGGCGAACGGGUGAGUAACACGUGGGUAACCUGCCCAUAAGAGGGGGAUAACAUCCGGAAACGGGUGCUAAUACCGCAUAGUUUUCUUGAUUGCAUGAUUGAGAAAGGAAAGACGGCCUUUGUGCUGUCGCUUAUGGAUGGACCCGCGGCGUAUUAGUUAGUUGGUGAGGUAACGGCUCACCAAGACGAUGAUGCGUAGCCGACCUGAGAGGGUGAUCGGCCACAUUGGGACUGAGACACGGCCCAGACUCCUACGGGAGGCAGCAGUGGGGAAUAUUGCACAAUGGGGGAAACCCUGAUGCAGCCAACGCCGCGUGAGUGAUGACGGCCUUCGGGUUGUAAAGCUCUGUCUUCAGGGACGAUAAUGACGGUACCUGAGGAGGAAGCCACGGCUAACUACGUGCCAGCAGCAGC
rnacentral:rRNA from 1 species